rnacentral:rRNA from 1 species
GAUGAACGCUGGCGGCGUGCCUAAUACAUGCAAGUCGAGCGAACAGACGAGGAGCUUGCUCCUCUGACGUUAGCGGCGGACGGGUGAGUAACACGUGGAUAACCUACCUAUAAGACUGGGAUAACUUCGGGAAACCGGAGCUAAUACCGGAUAAUAUAUUGAACCGCAUGGUUCAAUAGUGAAAGACGGUUUUGCUGUCACUUAUAGAUGGAUCCGCGCCGCAUUAGCUAGUUGGUAAGGUAACAGCUUACCAAGGCAACGAUGCGUAGCCGACCUGAGAGGGUGAUCGGCCACACUGGAACUGAGACACGGUCCAGACUCCUACGGGAGGCAGCAGUAGUGAAUCUUCCGCAAUGGGCGAAAGCCUGACGGAGCAACGCCGCGUGAGUGAUGAAGGUCUUCGGAUCGUAAAACUCUGUUAUUAGGGAAGAACAAAUGUGUAAGUAACUAUGCACGUCUUGACGGUACCUAAUCAGAAAGCCACGGCUAACUACGUG